UUUGGGGGGACCAGAUUGCUCUGCCAAACACCUGGAGCAGGAGCUGCCAACAAUUUGUCAUCUAUCCUGUGUUGCUCUCCAUUUAUCAGAAGCAUCUCUAGAGAGAACCCUGUUGUGCUGAACACUCUGUGUGUGGAGACAUGAGGCUUGACUCCAUUUCAGAAGCAUUGCCUGGCCCCAAGGGCAUCUGCACACAGCCAUUCCUGCUGCGUUUGCUGCUGCCUGAACACCAAAGCCUUUCUCAGGGAGCCCUGUGAAGUCCCGGGAGGAACAGCAGCCAUGAAGAUCCUGUUCCUGCUCUUCGCCCUGACCCUCCUGUUGGUCCAGGGUGAUGCAGCAAGUGCAGCUUCAUGCCGGUCAAAACGGGGAAUCUGCCUCAAACAUUAUUGCCCCAGUGGUUCAUAUCGUGUUGUGGGAAGAUGUUCACGAGGCUUUGCGUGCUGUAAAAGUCUGAGGGGUUGAAACCCUGAAACUGCCAAGCAGGACAUGACCCAUUUGCUUCUGGCUGCUGGAAAUCACCUCCUGAAGUCCCCAUGUGCUGAUGUCCCCAUGUGCUGAUGUCCCCUGCCCUCGCUGGCUGUGCCAUGCCCAGCUGGGCUGCCAGCAGCAGUGGCAGCUGCUCCUGCUGGCUGCUGCUGGGCUGGAGCCCUGUGGUGUCAGGGCCGGUGUCUUUGGGGCAGGGGCUGCUUUUCCCGGCUUGAAUAAAGAGCAGCACUUUGGCAUUGCA